rnacentral:rRNA from 1 species
AUUGAACGCUGGCGGCAGGCCUAACACAUGCAAGUCGAACGGUAACAGGAAGAAGCUUGCUUCUUUGCUGACGAGUGGCGGACGGGUGAGUAAUGUCUGGGAAACUGCCUGAUGGAGGGGGAUAACUACUGGAAACGGUAGCUAAUACCGCAUAACGUCGCAAGACCAAAGAGGGGGACCUUCGGGCCUCUUGCCAUCGGAUGUGCCCAGAUGGGAUUAGCUAGUAGGUGGGGUAACGGCUCACCUAGGCGACGAUCCCUAGCUGGUCUGAGAGGAUGACCAGCCACACUGGAACUGAGACACGGUCCAGACUCCUACGGGAGGCAGCAGUGGGGAAUAUUGCACAAUGGGCGCAAGCCUGAUGCAGCCAUGCCGCGUGUAUGAAGAAGGCCUUCGGGUUGUAAAGUACUUUCAGCGGGGAGGAAGGGAGUAAAGUUAAUACCUUUGCUCAUUGACGUUACCCGCAGAAGAAGCACCGGCUAACUCCGUGCCAGCAGCCGCGGUAAUACGGAGGGUGCAAGCGUUAAUCGGAAUUACUGGGCGUAAAGCGCACGCAGGCGGUUUGUUAAGUCAGAUGUGAAAUCCCCGGGCUCAACCUGGGAAC